rnacentral:tRNA from 1 species
GUUAGCACUCCAGACUCUGAAUCUGACGAUCUGGGUUCAAAUCCCGGUAAAACCU